rnacentral:rRNA from 1 species
GAUGAACGCUGGCGGCGUGCCUAAUACAUGCAAGUCGAGCGAACAGAUGAGGAGCUUGCUCCUCUGACGUUAGCGGCGGACGGGUGAGUAACACGUGGAUAACCUACCUAUAAGACUGGGAUAACUUCGGGAAACCGGAGCUAAUACCGGAUAAUAUAUUGAACCGCAUGGUUCAAUAGUGAAAGACGGUUUUGCUGUCACUUAUAGAUGGAUCCGCGCCGCAUUAGCUAGUUGGUAAGGUAACGGCUUACCAAGGCAACGAUGCGUAGCCGACCUGAGAGGGUGAUCGGCCACGCUGGAACUGAGAAACGGUCCAGACUCCUACGGGAGGCAGCAGUAGGGAAUCUUCCGCAAUGGGCGAAAGCCUGACGGAGCAACGCCGCGUGAGUGAUGAAGGUCUUCGGAUCGUAAAACUCUGUUAUUAGGGAAGAACAAAUGUGUAAGUAACUAUGCACGUCUUGACGGUACCUAAUCAGAAAGCCACGGCUAACUACGUG